GAUGAACGCUGGCGGCGUGCCUAACACAUGCAAGUCGAGCGGCAGCGCGAGUAGUUUACUACUUGGCGGCGAGCGGCGGACGGCUGAGUAACGCGUGGGAACGUGCCCCAAAGUGAGGGAUAACUUCGAGAAAUCGGAGCUAAUACCGCAUAGUAUCUUCGGAUUAAAGAAUUUAUUCGCUUUGGGAGCGGCCCGCGUCGGAUUAGGUAGUUGGUGAGGUAAAGGCUCACCAAGCCGACGAUCCGUAGCUGGUCUGAGAGGAUGACCAGCCAGACUGGAACUGAGACACGGUCCAGACUCCUACGGGAGGCAGCAGUGAGGAAUCUUCCACAAUGGGCGAAAGCCUGAUGGAGCAACGCCGCGUGCAGGAUGAAGGCCUUCGGGUUGUAAACUGCUUUUAUAAGUGAAGAAUAUGACGGCAACUUAUGAAUAAGGAUCGGCUAACUACGUGCCAGCAGCCGCAGUAA
rnacentral:rRNA from 1 species